rnacentral:ncRNA from 1 species
AAAAGACUUAGUCCUAACCUUACCGUUAAUUCUCGCUAAACAUAUACAUGCAAGUAUCUGCGUCCCAGUGUAAAUGCCCUUAGUCUCUUAAUAAGACAAAAGGAGCGGGUAUCAGGCACACGCACUGUCGUAGCCCAAGACACCUUGCUUAGCCACACCCCCACGGGCACUCAGCAGUAAUUAACAUUAAGCAAUAAGCGUAAGCUUGACUUAGUUAUAGCGAUUCCUACAGGGUUGGUAAAUCUUGUGCCAGCCACCGCGGUCAUACAAGAGACCCAAAUUAACUGUAUGCGGCGUAAAGAGUGGUGUCAUGCUAUCUUAGAGGCUAAGAUCAAAACGCAACUGAGCUGUCAUAAGCCCAAGAUGCCCCUAAGACCAACCUUAAAACGAUCUUAGUGCCCCACGACUUAUUAAACCCCACGAAAGCUAAGGCCCAAACUGGGAUUAGAUACCCCACUAUGCCUAGCCCUAAAUCCUGAUGCUUACUCUACCAAAGCAUCCGCCUGAGAACUACGAGCGCAAACGCUUAAAACUCUAAGGACUUGGCGGUGCCCCAAACCCACCUAGAGGAGCCUGUUCUAUAAUCGAUACCCCACGAUACACCCGACCAUUCCUUGCCAGAGCAGCCUAUAUACCGCCGUCGCCAGCUCACCUCUUUUGAAAGCACAGCAGUGAGCACAAUAGCCCAAACCCGCUAAUAAGACAGGUCGAGGUAUAGCCUAUGGAAUGGGAGAAAUGGGCUACAUUUUCUAGCAUAGAAGACCCCCCCACGGAAGGGGGCGUGAAAUCGCCCCCAAAAGGCGGAUUUAGCAGUAAAGCAGGAUAAUAAUGCCUACUUUAAGUUGGCCCUGAGGCACGUACAUACCGCCCGUCACCCUCCUCAUAAGCUACUUACUCCUAUACCCUAAUACACCAUCCAGCUGAAGAUGAGGUAAGUCGUAACAAGGUAAGUGUACCGGAAGGUGUACUUAGCAUACC